rnacentral:rRNA from 1 species
GGGGACGUCGAUGGGAGGACGUGCCGGCGUCGAAGCCGGAGGAAGGUGGGGAGUGACGUCAAGUCAUCAUGCCCCUUAUGUCUUGGGCUGCACACGUGCUACAAUGGCCGGUACAAUGGGCUGCGAUGGGGUGACCCGGAGCGAAUCCCACAAAACCGGCCCAGUUCGGAUCGAAGGCUGCAACUCGCCUUCGUGAAGUCGGAGUUGCUAGUAAUCGCGGAUCAGCAUGCCGCGGUGAAUACGUUCCCGGGCCUU